GAGGGUUUGUGUGUGUGUGCACAUGUGUGUGUAUUUAUAUCUAUAGGGAGUUUAUACAUACACACACACACACAAACUAUCUA
rnacentral:miRNA from 1 species